CGCCAUUUUUGGAGGGAGAGGCUCCUUAAUCUGUUUGGGGGGUGUCAUGACAAAUCACUGCUAUCAUCAAUAGGAAGUUUCCCCUGUUACAAAAUGUCAAAUAAUUCUGAUACUCAUCAGUAACUUCAACGAGCAAAGUAAAUCUCCUUAGCUCGUCAGCUAUCGGAGAAAUAUUUUCAAACUGCAAAUGUAACAAAAAGUGCUUCCGUCAUAGAUGUAUCAAAUAUGUAUAAAAAUUGUAUAUUAGAUGUAUCACAAUGAAUUACAGUGUAUUAUACAUGUAAUACCAUCAAGACAUAAAAGUUGGUACCUUAUUUCCUAUGCUAUUGAAGAAACCAGUAGAGAAGUCCUCACGCGUUAGCUUGUCUAUAAUUUCCUAAUUUAAUAUUGUCACGACCCCAAAUACCGGUUGUGAUAGCGCCUAUCACAUUACUAGGCAAUCCAAACCAACUAUCAAACCACAACCCAUUUUCAUAUUAAGUAAAUCAUUUGCUAACACGGUUUGAUUAUCAAUUAUCAUAAUAAGUGUUUAAAAUAGCAAGAUAGAUAUGCGGAUGUCGACAAGACAUAAAAACUACACAGCCCACAGUGAUGUGGUGUCAUGAGUCUAGAGUCUCUAAUACAAAACUAAAAACCUACUACAUAGAUAGUCUAGGAAUGCAGAAAAGUAAUAAGAUAAAAGGGAGAAGUCACGGCUACGGACGCCAUGCAGCUACCUCAAAAUCCCCAACAAAUGCUGAACCACUAAAAAGCUCUCACGCGACCUCUGGGGCUCCUGGAUCGGCACAUGAGGUGCGGGGAGUAAUGUGAGUACUCCGACCCAGUGAGUAAUAAAUAUAAAUAAUGACUUGAAAUAAGAAAACACGUAAAGCACAAGGCAUUCUAUAAUGAAGCCGAAAAAUAUCAUUUGAUAGUAAAUCAGUGAAAAAUCAAGCAAAUCUCCUUUAAACAGGUAAAAAAGGUAACUGACAGGUACAUAAUGAAAAGUAAACAGAUAGAAGUUUGCCCCUAGGGAUAAGUAUCCAAAACUCCACCCCUCGGGCUAUAUCUUAGCAUAAAACUAGCCCCUCGAGCUCAGUCUCAUACCACAACUGGGUACCCACGCUCUCUAGGGGUGUACAGACUCCGGGAGAGGCCCCUUACGGCCCAAACGGCAAUAUCAAACCAUCUCAUGGCAUCAAAUCUAGUCCCUUGACCUCUUAUCAAUCAAGCCACCUCGUGGAGUAUAUAUAUAUCAGGCCUUCGUCCUCAAAUCAGUAUCAAUGUUCCUCAAAAUAUAAGCCACCGGCCUUACUCAGUCCAAAAAUCAUCACAAGCCUCUCGGGCAAUAGUAAAACAAUGUUUUCAUCCUAAACAUCAUUUAAAAUAUCAUUUUCUUCUUAAUAAUUGAGAAAGAAUGGCUGAAUAGUGAAAUAGUGAAAAUUAUCAAGAUUGAGUUCAAGUAAUAAGUCAAAAUAGUGAAAAAAUAGUAAUAAAAAUCCCCAAAGAGUUCAAAAAAAUGGCAUGACGACCAAAUAUGGCAUUCAACCCAAGUGAUGAUGUUAGCAAAUAAGUUUUAGUCAAAUACGCGGUAAAAUUAUCAAUCGGGACGGGCCAAGUUAUAAUCUCCAAUAGUAUACGACCCAACGCUCAUCAUCAAGCGCGUGUCUCACCACAAUAUAGCACUACGAUGUGCAAAUUUGGGGUUUCAAACCCUCAGAGCAUCAUUUACAAUAAUUACUCACCUCGAACCGGCUAAAUCUCUAGCUCGCGACACCUGUGCCUCUCAAAUAGACUCCACGCGCGUCGAAUAUAUCAAAAAUCAGAAUGAAUAUGAAAAAAUAUUCCAAUGAAACAAAGCCCAAGCGAAAACAAAGAAUAAAUACUAAAAAUCGCGAAAUUAGCAAAACUUGAGCCCCAGGCUCACUUCUCGAAAUUCAGAAAUUUUCACAUCAAUAGAUUCCUCGUCUCCCCACGAGUUCAUACAUAUAAAAAGUUCUCAAAUCCGACCUCAAAUGGUCCUCCAAAUCCCCAAUCAAAUGUCUAAAAUUCCAAGCCCCAGUUCUUCCAUUUUUAGCUUAAGUUUCCAUAAUAUUACAGGUGGAUUUCAUAGUAUAAUCGAGUUUAAAGUCCAAAAUUCUUACCUCCAAACAUUUCUCCUUGAAUCCCUCUUUAAUUUCCUUCAAAAAUCUAUCAAAAAGACAGACUAUGGAGUAAAUGAGCCCCAAAAUCGUGGAUGAAACGAAUUAAACAUUCUGCCCAGUUUCGAUUCCCCCUUCUUCGCAAAUGCGGUCAAAACCUCGCGUUCGCGAAGCACAAAUUUGCGUUGACCAGAUUUUCCUCUAUUCGGUCGUGAUUCUUUCUCCACUAACACCUUCGCGAACGCGAAACCCUUUACGCGAACACAAUGAACAAUAGGGCUUCGAUCCCAAAUUACUCAAUGCGAUCGCGACUACCCUCUCGCGUAUGCGAUUCACUGAAUUACAACCUUUCACGAAUGCGAAGCACCUCUCGCGAACUCGAAGGCUAAAUCCUGGACUUCCUCAAUUCCUUCUACGCGAUCGCCCUACACCCUGCGCGAUCGAGAAGGGCAAUUUCUACAACACCUGAUCAGAUUUUUUGCAACUUCCAAACUCCAAAAAUGACCCGAAUGACCAUACGAAAAUCACCUGAGGCCCCCUUGACCUAAACCAACAGCACAAACACAUCCUAAAACCUUAUUUAAAGUUUCUCAAUUCAUCAAAACACCUCAAACAACAUAAAACUACCCAAAACACAUCGGAUUCAAGCCUAAGUUUCUAAAAAUCUUCCGAAAUACGCCUUCCAUCAAAAAUCCAACCAAACCACAUCCGAAUGUCGUGAAAUUUCACAAAGACAUCCCAAAUGACACAAAAAAACCAUUGCAACUCUCAGAACUCCAUUCCGACACCUAUAUAAAAAUCUCGCAUAUCAACGAGAAAUCGCCAAAAUAUCAACUUCGCCAAUUCAAGCCUAAAUCUUCUCUACACCUCCAAAACUCAUUCUGAUCGUGCUCCCAAGCCAUAAAUCACCUCCCAAAGCUAACCGAACCAUCAAAACUCACAUAUGAGUCCUCCAACACAUAAGUCAAUAUCCAGUUGACUUUUCCAACUCAACCCUUUUUAAAAAAACAAAGUGUCUUAAACCUUACCAAAAUCAUUCUAGACUCAAUCCAAACAACCCGAUACAACAAAACACGGAUGACGAAGCACAAAGAAGCAAAAAUGGGGGAAGCAGAGUGGUAGCUCAUGGGACGACUGGCCGGGUCGUCACGACCUCCCCAACUUAAAUAAUGUUCGUCCUCGAAUAAGUCAAGAAACAUACCUGAAGCCUCAAAUAGGUGAGGAUAUCUGCUCUACAUCUGCCUCACGGUCUCCCAAGUAGCCUCCUCCACAGGCUGACCUCUCUAUUGCACUUUCACUGAAGUUAUAUACUUUUACCUCAAUUUCGGAACCUAACGACCCAAAAUAGCUGCUAGCUCCACAUCAUAGGUCAAAUCAUCAUUCAACUAAAUUGUGCUUAAAUCCAAAGCAUGAGACAGAUCCCUAAUGUACUUUCGGAUCAUAGAAACAUGAAAUAUCGGAUGCACACUCGACAAAGCUGGGUGACAAAGCAAGCUCAUAAGCCACCCCCAAUCCUCCGAAGCACCUCAAAACCGAGGACUCAAUUUCCCUUUCUUCCCAAAUCUCAUAACACCCUUUAUGGGUGAAACCUUCAAUAGAACCUUCUUGUCAACCAUGUAGGACACAUCUCAAACCUUCCUAUCAGCAUAACUCUUUUGCCUCGACUACACUGUACGAAGUCUCUCCUGAAUCACCUUCACCUUUUCUAAAGCAUCUUGCACCAAAUCAGUCCCCAACAUCCAAGCCUCAUCGUGCUCGAACUAACCAACUGGAGAUCUACACCACCUCCCAUAAAAAGCCUCAUAUGGAGCCAUCUAAAUACUCGACUAGUAGUUGUUUUUAUAGGUAAACUCUACAAGCGGUAGACACUCAUCCCAUGAUCCUCUGAAAUAAAUGACACAAGCACACAAGAUGUCCUCCAAUAUAUGAAUAGUACGCUCGGACUGCCCGUCCAUGUGAGGAUGAAAAGUUAUGCUCAACUUCACCUGAGUACCCAACUCUCUCUGCACGGCUCUCCAAAACUGCAAAGUUAAUAAUUACCUCUAUCUGAAAUGAUAGAAACCAUAAUACAAUUCAACCAAACGAUCUCCCGAAUAUAAAUCAAUGCCAAACGCUUUGAAGAAUAGGUAGUACGCAUAGGAAUGAAGUUCACAGACUUGAUCAGUCGAUCCACAAUCACCCAAAUAGCAUCGAACUUCUUUAAUGUCCCUGGAAGUCCAACAACAAAGUCCAUAGUGAUCAUAUCCCACUUCUAUUCAGGAAUAACCAUCUACUGAAGCAAACCACUCGGUCUCUAAUGCUCAUAUUUCACCUGCUGACAAUUGAGACACCGAGCCGCAAAUCCCACAAUUUCUUUCUUCAUUCUUCUCCACCAAUAGUGUUGCCUCAAAUCCUGAUACAUCUUCGUAGAACCUAGAUGAAAGGAAUACCGCAAGCUAUGGGCCUCCUACAUAAUCAACUCCUAUAGUCGAUCCACAUUGGGCACACAAAUCUGGCCUUGCAUCCUCACCACCCCAUCGUCACUGAUGGUCACAUCUCUGGCAUCAUCAUGCUGAACUUUGUCCCUAAGGACAAGCAAAUGCGGAUCAUCAUACUGGCGCUCUCUGAUGUGAUUAUAUAAGAUAAACCGAGAAACCACACAAGCCAACACCCGGCUGGGCUCCGAAAUAUCCAACCUUAUGAACUGAUUGUCCAAGGCAUGAACAUCAACUGUAAAAGGUCUUUCCCCGACUAGAAUAUAUGACAAACUCCUCAUACUCACUGCCUUUCGGCUCAAAGCAUCGACUGCCAUAUUGGCUUUUUCCCAAUAGUAAAAUAUAGUGAUAUCAUAAUCCUUAAGCAACUCAACCAUCUCUGGUGCCUCAAAUUAAGAUCCUUUUGCUUGAAUAAAUGCUGAAGACAGCGAUGAUCAGUGAACACCUCACAAGAUACGCCAUACAAGUAAUGCCUCCAAAUCUUCAACGCAUGAACUAUGGCAGCCAACUCCAAAUCAUAAACAGGGUGGUUCUUCUCAUGAGGCUUCAACUGGCAAGAAGCAUAAGCAAUAACUCUACCCUCCUGCAUCAAUUCACAACCAGUCAUAACUCUCGAAGCAUCACAAUACACGAUAUAUGAACCUGAAGCUGAUGGCAAAACCAACACUGGAGUUGUGGUCAAAGCUGUCUUGAAUUUCUAAAAGCUCUCCUCGCACUCGUCCGACCAUACAAAUGGAGCACCCUUCUAAGUCAACUUGGUCAAGGGCGAUGCGAUAGAUGAGAAUCUAUGGAUCAACCGGCGCUAAUAGCCUGCCAAUCCAAGAAAGCUUGAAUCUAUGUGGAUGAGGACGAUAUAGGCCAACUCUAACUACAUCUAUCUUCUUUGAAUCAACCUGAAUACCCUCACUGGACACCGCGUGCUCCAUGAAAGCCACUGAACUGAGCCAAAACUCACACAUGGAGAAUUUUGCAUAAAACUUCUCCUCCUUAAAUCUCUGUAACACAACUCGUAAAUGCUCUGCGUGCUCCCCCUGACUAUGAGAAUACACCUGAAUACUCUGACGAAUGAAUUGAGAUAAGGCUGGAACACACUGUUCAUCAAAUGCAUGAACGAUGUUGGGGAAUUGAUCAGCCCAAAAGACAUCACCAAGAACUUGUAUUGACUAUAUCGGGUCCUGAAAGUCGUCUUAAGAUUAUUUGAAUCCCUGAUCUUUAAUCGGUGAUAACCCAAACGGAGAUCAAUCUUGAAGAACACUCUCGCUCCUUGAAAUUGGUCAAAUAAAUCAUCAAUGCGAGGAAAACGAUACUUUUUCUUAAUUUUUACCUUGUUUAAUUUUCUGUAAUCAAUGUACAUUCUCAUUGUUCCAUCAUUCUUCUUCACAAAAAGAACCUGUGCAUCCGAAGGUGACACACUACACCGAAUGAACCCCUUAUCUAGGAGUUCCUGAAACUACUCCUUCAAUUUCUUCAACUCUUUUGGUUCCAUAUGAUACAGCGGAAUAGAAAUGGGUGAGUACACGGCACAAGGUCAAUACCAAAAUCAAUUUCCAUGUUCGGCGACAUGCCCGGCAGGUCUGCAGAAAACACAUCGAGAAACUCCCUCACAAUUGGAACAGAAUCAAUAUUAGGUGUCUCAGUCCCAACAUCCCUCACAAAAUCUAGAUAUAAAAGGCAACCCUUCUCAACCAUAUGUUGGGCCUUCAAGAAAGAAAUCACUAUACUAGGAACAUUCUCAGUUGUUGAUACCCAAUUUUUCCCUAUGUAUUUUUAUACUCAAAAUACUUUAAAAAUAGCAUGCAUCUUCAUAUAUGAGCAUCCCCAAAGGUUUAGGAUUUUUUCUAAUUUUUAAAGAUACUGAUUUAUUGUCUGUUGUUAAAAGUAUAAAACCUCAAUAAUUAUUCCCAAAUUGUCCUUUUUGCGAGACAUUCAUUUUCCGCCAUUAUAUUUAAACCAAAUAUAAUUACAGUGAUUUUUGUAUAUUUUAUAUAAAUUUAUUUGAUAUUUUUAAGCUAAAUUAUUCAAAAUUACAAUUCUAGCCUAUAUUAUAAUUAAUCGUGUUUUAUAAUUAUAAAAUUAUUCCAUAUAUUUUUACAUUAAUUUUUGUAUAUUAUUAACUGGUUUAAUUCUUUUAACUUGUUUUUAAAUAUUUUUGUAACUAUUUUAAUUAAUUAAAAAGCGAGAAAGUGGCUAUUAUAAUGGCCAUUCCAAAGAAUGCUUCUUGGGUAGUUAGGAAAAUUAUAGAUUGCAGAACCCUAUACUGGCUGAUAACAGAUUGCAAGGGGACCUCAUAUAAAGACUGGCAGGAAUGUGCAGAUCAGGAAAAUUCCAAAUACAGUCACUAUAUCAUACUAUGCUUCCAAUCUUCCCUAGGGUGGAAUGGAAGAAUCUUAUGGUGACAACAAAUGUCCUGCCUAGACAUAAAUUCACUACUUGGCUUGCUGUUCAAGGUCGACUCCCUACUGUCGACAGAUUACUGAAGAUUGGAGUGAAUGUGGAGGAGAAAUGUGUUUUCUGUCAUCAACAAGUAGAAGACUUUGGCCAUCUGUAUUUCACUUGUCCAGUUACUAAUAGGCUGUGGCAUAGAAUAUGUUGUUGGCUGGGCUAUAACAGAUCAAUAGGCCGAUGGAAUGCUGAAAUCUAGUGGAUUUGUUGCCUAGCUAGAAGCAAAUUGUGGCACAAGGCUGAUCAUCAAUCUGUUGAAGAGUUUGGCCAUCUAUACUUCACUUGUCCAGUUACUAGUAUACUAUGGCAUAGAAUAUGCUAUUGGCUGGAAUAUAAUAGGACAAUUGGCAGCUGAAAUGUUGAACUCCAGUGGAUUUGCUGCUUAGCUAGAAGCAAAGUGUGGCAGAAGGCUGUGGUGGCUACUGCUUUUGUCACCACAGUUUCACUCAUAUGGAGAAGUAGGAAUGUCAUCAGAUUUGAGGGGAAAUCAUUUGAUGAAAAUCAGUUCUGCCAUGAAGUAGCAAUGCUUAUACAUGUUCGGGGCAGGAAAUGUAAGCGAUGGCAAGUGGGAUUGCGACAUCUCAAUCAUUACCCUUAGUCGUUAGUGUAAGAAAUGUAGUAGCAUAGUAUGAUUUUGUACAAUAGUAGUUAGUGCACCACAGUUUAACUCAUAUGGAGAAGUAGGAAUAUCAUCAGAUUUGAGGGGAAAUCAUUUGAUGAAAAUCAGUUCUGCCGUGAAGUAGCAAUGAUUAUACAUGUUCGGGGCAGGAAAUGUAAGAGAUGGCAAAUGGGAUUGCGACAACUCAAUCACUACCCUUAGUCGUUAGUGUAAGGAAUGUAUUAGCAUGGUUAGAUUUUGUAUAGUAGUAGUUAGUCUAUACUACUACAAAGAACCUCAUUGUAAAUUUGUUGACAUCAAUGAAAGUCAAACUUUAAAUUUAAAAAAAAUGAUGCGUGCACUAACUAGACAUACAAACGAUUGUUUUUUUAUAGAUGCUACAAAUAAUUGAUAAAGCUUUACAAUGAUUGACUACUAGCCCAUUUCCAUUUUAAUUUUAGCCACAUUUCACCCCAAAUUAAACCCCAAUUAAAAUGACCCAAUUACCCGACCCCUUGACAAAAUUCCAAACCCACUCGAUCAUCAUUUUAAUCUAAGUCAUUGAUCAUUUUGAUCAACGGCCAUGAUUCUCUCAUUCCUUUUAAAUUCACCAACCCACCCUAACCCUAGUCAUUUAUCCAAAAUAGCCACCCCGAGAGUCCGUUCAUCUCUCAAACUCUCUCUAAACCCCCCCCCCCCCCUCCUCUUUUUUAAUUCACCAACCCGCCCUAACCCUACUCAUUUAUCCAAAACAGCUACCCCUAGAAUCCAUUCUCUAUCAAACUCUCUCUAACCCUUCCGAAACCCUAGCCCUACUCUGCCGAUUUCCACCUUGUUUCACCGGAAUCUAUGGCAUCCCAUGUCCUGGGUAGCCUAUACUCACCCUCAUGUUCCCCCAUACCCAUGUUACUUGAAGAUUCAAGGUUCGAGUCUGAAGGCCUUCGCUUAGAUAAUCGGCGAUUUGAAUGUUACGGCCAUCUCCGGCUCAACUCCAGCAUAUCCUAGCCCUAUGAGUCCAUCUCUGACUCAUUCGACUCAGAGCACACACUUUUCCAGGCCUUUCUUGCUUCUAGGUUCUUCUGAAACCCUAGACUUUCGAGGUUUUCCUAUUUUUCUCUAGAUAUGCUCUAGAUCCGUGUCUAUUUUAUGGUUUUCAAGCGAUUUCUUAAGUCUCUUUCAAAACUCUUCUUUCAAAAACUGUUCAUAUUACGGUUUCGUUGAUUUUACUUGUUCUACUGUGACUCCUAUGUGUUUCUAUUAUGAUUUCUAUGUGUUUUCUAUUACCAUGCUGUCUUCUACCAUCACUCUGUGAGUUCAUUUACAAUAUUUUAUUCCCUUAUUAUGUUUUCCUGAAUGUUUAAGGUUUUAGUUCCUUUGGGUCUUUUGGACUUGUUUCGUUGUUACUUUUGCUGGAUUUGUCUGCUUUUGUCUUUACACCUGAUUAAUGGCAGAAACCCUAGCAUUUGGGGUUUUUUAGACCACUUGUAUGUGAUUUUGUUUGUUUUUAUUCUCUCAGUUAAUUUUAUUUCAAAACCCUAAUUUCCGAACUCAUCUUUUUUUCUCUAUGUGAUUCUGACUCUUGCUAAGCUUUGCAAGAUCUUUUACCUGACUUUUUGCAUGCCAUCUGAUGUUCCCCCUUACCUAAUAUUUCCCUACUCACUAAUUUUGGUUGCAUGACACUUUUCUUUGUUUUGAAUUGAGCCUCGCAUGUUCAAAACUUAUGCACUCUUUAUGUGUACAUUUUGCUCUCAGAGUAACCUCUGAUUUUGGGGAUUGAUUUCAGACUGCCAUGGUGUGAACUUGAUUGAUUCUUUCCUUGUCUAAAUUGAACCUUCCUAUUCCCUUAUUUUCUGACUUGGUUCAUUAUUGAUUUCGAAUCUUUGAUUCCCUAAUUUACUAUGUACUAGUUGAUUUACUUCUUGCCUUAUUUACUUAACCGUGUGUUUCAAACUUUCCCCUGUGUAUUUACCCCUUAUUUGCAUGUUGUUCAUGAUAUGCUACUUGAUUCCUGUUCUUUAAAUAGCUUCUGCUCUUUUACAAUUCGAAUUUGAACUCCUUAAUCAAAGGAAUUCCCUUCUACUGAUUGUUUUCUGAUUGAUACUUGAUUAUUUUCUUUCCUUGCUUACCUGCCUGACUUCAAGUAUAAAUACAUGCUCCUCUCUUCACUAAUCAAUCAAUUCACUUUUAAAAAAAAAUAAUUCUACAUAGAUAUCUCUGUCUUGAAAUAUUCUUUACUACUUUUACUACUCUCUAUUUUCUAUAUUGCUGAGCACUUUGCUCCUUUAUCUCAUGUUGUCUCCCAAGUACUUGUUGAAGUUCCUGGAGUUUGUUCUUGUUUACUGCCUCGCUGUUUGUUGCUGUUGCUAUUUUGUUGUUCUAAAACUUGCGACUUGUAUGUUUUCCUAGUUAAAUAGCACCCUCUUUGAUAUGUGCUCAACUUCUCCUCUUAUACACUUCUUUCCUUGUCUAUUUUCUUAUGCUUUCCUGCAUUAUGUGAUUACAUUCAAGCAUGCUAUGCUUAUUUAUGUUAUGGUUUUAAUCCUUUCCCCUAUUCGCUUUGUAUGUGUGUAUUGUCCUAAACCAUGGCAGCACAUUGAAUUGUUCUCUGUGAUCCAGAACUAGACUCUCCUGAGUCUUUACUCAAUUGCUUUCGAAUUCCCUCUCCCCUCUAUGUGCUGAGCUUUAAUUUGGGUCUGUUGGUAUCCUAAUCACCAUUGAGGCCUAAGUUUGACUCUCUAAGAGUCUUCUCUUAUUUGUUUGAAUCUGAGCUGGGUAUGACCACCUCGCGCUGAGGUUCCUCCCUUGCACUUAUUCCUAGUUCAUAAGUUCUAUCCCCUUGGGUAAGCCAUGUUUAGGGAACCUGGAAUUCCCUCUGAACUUGGAUGCCUGAGGGCUGGUAAUUCCACACUUCACUACUCUAUUACAAUAUUCACUCUUCAGAGUGUAACCAUUGCUUGGGCUCUUGAAGCUCCUUGGAACUGUGAAACACUCUGAAUAAAGAGAAGGACUUGGAAUCUGGAAUACGGAUUUGGUGAAACACAUGUAUUAGAUAUUGAGAAUGCAUUAGGCAGUUUGGUUCUAGCUGUAGGCUAUAAUGUACUUUAAUUACUUUCUUGCUUUUGGUUCUGUAAUAAUAACUUUGUAAAAUGAACUCGGGAAGUAUAUUAGUAAAGGGGAUGGGAGUGAUUUUACUUGCAUAUUGCAAAGGGUAGAUACCAUGCCUAUAGGAUCAACAUUGUUUAUCAAUUACUUAGAUAUCGUGCACAUAGGAUUCAUAUUGCAAUUCAAUCAUUUAGAUAUCAUGCCUAUAGGGUAUCAAUGUUUGAAUUCGACCACUUAGAUAUCAUGCCUACUGUCCCACCCCUUUUUAAAAAGAACCAAACCUCUACUUAAACCCUUUUAAAUUAAUAAAAAAAUUUAAUAAAGCUUGAAAAGGGUUUUCAAUUGAAAAGUGACAAAAAUUUGUUUCAAAAGAAAAUAACUCAGAGUCGCCACCUGACAUUUGAUUUCAGUGUGUCAGGUCACCAUUUUUUUUCUAGAAAUAAUAAUUUUCCUUUGAAAACACUUUGAACUCUAAACUAAGUCUGCACUAGAGAUUCAGGUAUGGGGGUUCAUUUGACUCGGAGAGAAGGUGUUAGGCAUUCCCCAAGUCCCGUGAAGUUCACGGUUGCACACAUGAUCAAGUUGGCUAUUGAAAUAUACGAUUAAGCUAGAAAACACAUAAAAGGAAAAUAAACACACAAGAGACUCGAGGUCGUCCCCACCUAAUUAAAAAAAUAAAGAUAAAAUAAUAAAAGGUCCUAAGCUAAUCUACACUAUACUUCCUCGACAAACGCGUCACGACCUCCAAAAUAUUUACAAAGUACUUCGGGGCACACCCCGGAUAAAACUAUACCAAUUCUUCGGGGCAUUCCCCGGACAAACAUAACUAUCGGGAACGACCUCUCACCUCAAAUAUAACAAACUCCUAACGUUUGCCUACCCAGGUGAUGACGGCCUAGCAUGCUCCUAGCGAUUAACGAAACUAUUAGUAACAAAGCAAAAAUCCAACAUAUCAUGUUAAACCCAAUUCUCUUUAAUUAUGUUCCAAACCUCCGUGCACGUUAGCCUUUUUUCUUUAUUUUACCUAAUUCAAAUUUACCGAAUCAUUAAUAAUCUUAAAAAGAAAUAGCAAACAACUCGAUAUUCUCAGAAAGCCAUCAAACCAAUUUCAGACAAACUAGUGAACAAACAACCAAAGCAUAUCAAAUUAAAUUGAGUCAGAAAUUCACAUAAGAGAAAAUAGGAGAAGGAGUUUAAGAUUGAACCUCAAAAUGAAACCGAGCUUCACAAAUAGUCGAGCAAAAAACUAUGGAGCAUGAGUGUAAUCGGGAACUCAAAACCCCACGGAUACUUUUCAAACGGCUCGAACUCAAUCAAACUCCACCGCUCAACUCAAGAACUUUUAUUGAUUGAAUCCAAUCUUUAGAAUUUCUGCUACUCAAAAAUUCAGCCAAGAGCAACGACCACAAUCGAGAGCCUCCAAUGGCGCAGCCCGAACAAACCUUUUGAUUGAAUUUGAAAUUUAAAUGGUUGGACUAUUUUGAAGGUCAUAAGCAACAAGAUCGCGACCAGAAACUCGUCAAGUGACGAGCUGACCAAACUUUGCCAGAGAAACUAAAAUCUCGCCAACGAUACGAAUUCUACUCAACCCGGAGAACACCGAAGCUCAAAGAGCUAACCGACAUUGAAAUUUGAUGCGUUUUCGGGUUAAGGGGAGAUUUGAGUUGGAUUUUUUAAGCUAUUUUGAAGCUAUUUUUAGUUGGUUCUUAUGGUGAGAAAGACCGUGAUUUAUCGCCCCCCUUAGCUCUGUUUUCCCAAGCUCACGAGUCCUCGGAUCUGCAAAUUGGCUGCCAUACAGUACACGCUAAAGAAGAAGAAGAUAUUGAGUUUUCGUAAUUUGAAUCACAAAGAUUAAAGAGCAAAGCCCCUAUGUUUGAUGAUCACAUAUAAUGUGAUGACAUCAACGCUAAAACCAUGCUGGAGGUUUCUUUUUUAGCAUGGUGUUCACUGUCCUUUUUGCAAAUUAUUUUGCAAGAGUUGACCCUUGGCCUUGUGAGAAAUGUGCUUGGUCUUGAAGUGUGGCAACGACUAAUCUUGUCCAGG
rnacentral:lncRNA from 1 species